rnacentral:rRNA from 1 species
AUGACGCAGGCGGCCUACGAGCACUUCUCAUCCAUUCUAGGAACCGCUGCCACACGAACUCACUCCAUCUGCCUCGACAUCAUCGAUCACAGGAGCUUCGACCUGCUCGACCUUGAUGCUCCUUUCUCUGUGCAGGAAAUUUGGAAUGCUAUCAAGAAAAUGCCAAUGGGCAAGGCGCCCGGACCCGACGGAUUCACCUCCGAGUUCCUUCGUGCAUGCUGGCCAGUCAUCAAGGCCGACAUUUGUGAGGCCUUCGACAAGCUCUACUCCUUGAAUGGUCGCGGCUUUCACAAGCUCAACGAGGCCCUCCUCAUCUUACUGCCCAAGAAACCUGAUGCCGCCGCGAUAACUGACUACCGGCCUAUCAGUGUGAUCCACAUCAUCGCUAAACUGUUAACCAAGGUGCUCUCCUUGCGUCUCGCUCCAAGGAUGGGGGAAAUUGUCUCCGCUAACCAAAGCGUGUUCAUCGUCGGCCGUUGCAUGCACGACCGCUUCCUUCUCGUCUAG